UUGGCUUAUUCAUGUUGUUGCAUUAAUCUCCAUCAUCAUACCAUGGGCCAGACUAACCUUCCGAAACCAAGAAGUGGGAAAACUCUUUGGGGUUCAUCGGAUGGUUGUGACCUCCAACCCAAGUACUAAUUAAGUACAACUAAAGAGAUUCGAUGAGUCUAAAGCUUAUUCUAGCCUUGCAAUCGAUCCGUGUUUCGGGUAGUAUUCGUCUUCGGUAUCAAAUCCGUAACUGCCUUAGCUGCCUUCCCUUCACCAAGCGUGACUUUCGGCUUGGCGGGGCCAGUCCGAUGAAACCCUGCCUUCGUGCACGCAUACACUAUAUGCUUCCUUUGUGUGCUAGGGUUAGACUUCCGAUUUGGCCGCUUUCGAUAGUCUACGCGAGUGGCAAAACCCUGCUUGUGGACGUAAUCGUUGUACCACUCACGGGUAUGCUCGGGUGAAACUUGUUGCCCCACUCGUGCACAUCACCUGGUCCAAUGGAACUGCCUGCAACAUAUCAUAGAGGAAAGAGACAUAAAUCUCAAAACAUGUACGCUUACUAUUCCUACGGUAGUACACAACUUUUCAACUUUCAUUGUGAACAAUGAUCAAAUACUCAUUUGACCAACUUCCAUUACGAAGUUGUUAUUCGUCCAUUAUUGUAACUGUACUUCGCUAGUAUUCAUGUCCAGUAUCCUAACCAACACACACAAUAGCAGAUUGAUCAGCAACUCUAUUGGCCACAUUGAGCCAUUACUGCAACCCAGAAGAGAGCAGAAAACUUAAACCAUGAAACCAACCUCUAUUUUCAAGAGACCCCAUAAAUCCUACACACUAAAACCUCAUAACUCUAAAUUGGAGAUCUAAACCCCAAACUUACAGGACCUGAUCAUUGACAGCACAAAACCCCCCCAUAUGUAAUAGGUAUGAACACACCUUCGUUGUGCCCUUCAAAUUGCUGGCGGUCAUCCUCGUCUUCGUCAAUGAACAAUACUUCCCCGUGAACUUCGACUCAUCCGCAUCUAAAUUGAUCACAUCGUCGUCAUUUAGGUCUCCCACAAACCCUCUUGGAGUUCCGGCCAUUCAAAAUUCUGAAUCUUGAACAAAAGCCUAGCCUGCAAUUUAAAUUUGGUUGGAGAUAUCUUUAUCAUUAUCUCGCAAUUACAACCACAAAAAAUGAGAUUAGAUAAAUCUUACACAAAAGGGGAUAAUUUACUUUAAUCUGUAUUACACCUUAUUUGGUUAAUUACCAUAGCGUUAUUCAUUUUCAGUUCCCGCCAGUACCAUCCCACCCAUUUCCAGCAUAUUCCCGCCCCUCCUACACACAUUUUUCCGCCCACACUGAU
rnacentral:lncRNA from 1 species